UUGAUGCCUAUGGCCCAAGGACGUUCCUUGGCAAUUUGUUAAUUAGUAAUUGAUUAGAGGACGUUCCCUAAUUAAUUUAAUCAUAAGGAGAGACAUGGUGGUGAGAAGUGUCUUCCACCCCCAUAACUAAUCUAUUGAACCAAUCAAGAUAAUCUAAGUUUCAAUGAUCAAUCCAAACAACCAAAGUGGAUCCAUAUCUUCAACUAGACUUUUCUCAUAUUGAUUUCCUCUUUUAUUUUAAUUAUUUGCUUCCUAUUAUUAUUCUCAUUAUUAGUUACUACAAUCA
rnacentral:lncRNA from 1 species